CUGACAGCCAGGUACAGCCGCUCACCCACUGCAGUGAGGGUGUAACCCAGGCAACCCCUCAGAGGUUGAAAAUAUCCUAAACCCAGGCCGGCCGUAGUGCCCCACGCCUGUCAUCCAGCACUCGGAGAGGAGGACCUUGUGUUUUCGAGGCAGGCUCGGUGCCACUGAGCUAAAUCCCCGGCCUGAGCGGGUCUCGAGAUGUAGUUCAACCUGGCCUCAAACUCAUUAUGUAGCCCAGACUGGCCCUGAACUCAUGGUGAUCUUCGUGGAUCAGCCUCCAGAAUACCGGGAUUACAAGCGUGCACCACCACUUCUGGCUAAACCUAUUAUUUUGAAGCAACAACCCCGCUGCUGAAACCAAUGUCUUUCUGUGUUUUUAACUAUCCCGUGCAUUUGAAGAAUUGCCUAACCGUUCCACAGUUCAGCCAUAUUUAGAAAGUUCUUUUGUCUAAUGCCAGACAUGGCUGGAAAAUUUGGAAAAUUAACAAGAAAUUUUUUCCAGUGACAAGAGAAUGUGGCUUUGUUUGCUUUGCUUUGGGGAGAGCUAAUUAAAUCUUGUAUCAUUCC